rnacentral:rRNA from 1 species
AUACGUAGGGGACGAGCGUUGUCCGGAAUUACUGGGCGUAAAGGGCGCGCAGGCGGAUAUUUAAGUCAGCUGUAAAAGGCAUGAGCUCAACUCAUGUAUGCGGUUGAAACUGGGUAUCUAGAGUGCUGGAGAGGUAGGCGGAAUUCCCGGUGUAGCGGGGAAAUGCGUAGAUAUCGGGAAGAACACCAGUGGCGAAGGCGGCUUACUGGCCAGCAACUGACGCUGAGGCGCGAAAGCCAGGGGAGCGAACGGGAUUAGAUACCCCGGUAGUCCUGGCCGUAAACGAUGAAUGCUAGGUGUGGGUGUCGAGAGGCAUCCGUGCCGGAGUUAACGCGAUAAGCAUUCCGCCUGGGGAGUACGAUCGCAAGAUUGAAACUCAAAUGAAUUGGCGGGG